UGCAUUAACUACUGUAAGUCGCUCUGGAUAAGAGCGUCUACUAAAUGACUAAAA
rfam:Salmo salar isolate Sally breed double haploid chromosome ssa13, whole genome shotgun sequence.